CUACGCUGCGCGCCCUUAUAUAGGCUGGUGGGUGCGGCGCCGCCAGCUGGCGCGAGGCUGCGCGCCUAUUGGCCGGCACCCGCUUUCUGAUGUAAAUGAGGCGGCGAGCCAGCGGCUCGUGCCAGAAGGCCACGUGGGGAGGGGUGCGGGGGAUGACAAUGCCUCAAAUCUGCCGCUUUUGUUGGGGUGUUACCAGGCAGACUGGAGCCUGCAGAUUUCAUCUCGCCUGGCUUUUUUUUUUUUUUGAAGUCCUUAAAAGGAAAAAGUAAAAAAAAAAAAAAAAGAAAAAACCCAACCCACAAAAACCUUGUUUGCUUAUAUGAUGCUGCAAUUUGCGAAAAGCACCUUUAUAGAAGCAAAGGGAUUUUUUUUUGCAUUUUGUAUUGCUACCUUUCUAUUUGUUUCUUUUCUUUAAUUUGAAGUCUAUGAGACUGUUGCAUUGGAGCCAGAAAUUAAGGUAAAAACAGGUAGCGCCAGUUAGAGGCUUGCAAAAGGCAGUGGGCACAGCCCCCUGCAGCUGACCACUAGCGUCCCGAGCGCGCUGGUGAUGCCUGCCAGGCAUACUCAAUGUGUACAUUGAGCCGUCUCUGGAAGAUCCCACCCCACCUCCCCGCCCUUGGCCGAGCGCGGCGGGGCGCGGGAGACGGGGGCGGGCGGGGACGAGCAGAUUGCGGCCGGCGCACGCCGCUCGUUUGCAUUUCUAUGGAGGGCGCACAAUAGCAGAGGUCUGGCGUGUGGCGGUUUGCUGUAGGGACAAUCGAGGCUUUCUCUUCAUAGCAACACUGUCCACCUGCCGCCGGGUGGGGUGGGCAGGACCCCGCCGCGCGUGGGGGUCGCCGGGCUGCCUGGCGCGUGGGGUCGAGGCUGAGUGCCACUCCGUGGUCCCUGAGUGCACGCCCCCAGUACUGGCCCUGCUACAAGUAAUUCCCUUCCAUCCGUUCCUCGCACGGGUGCCGAACAGCCGCGCGAGUUGGGAAGGACGGAGAGCUGCUGUGCAGUCUUCGCGGCUGGACGCCCUGUGGCCGGGACCCCGCGGCUGCAGCCCCUGGAGCUUAGACGGAGUCUCGCUCGGUUGCCCAGGCUGGAGUGCGGUGGCACAAUCUCGGCUCACUGCAACCUCCGCCUCCCGGGUUCAAGCGAUCCUUCUGCUUCAGCCUCCCGAGUAGCUGGGACUACAGGUGCAUCUCAGAUGCCUUCCAGCAUGUGAAGGACACCAUUGCAUUGGCUCUCACCACCACCAUGCCCUCCUCCUUACCCAGGGUGAAGCAUGAAUCUGCACAUGGGGAGGCUUCAGAGGACAACUGAGACAAGAAGCAGGAAGCUGAGAAAGGAGGACACCUCCCACACACACAUCUAGCAAAAGCUGGACAUUUCUGGUCAGUCAUCCUUAUGCAAAGACUUUCUGGAAGGAGCAGUUAUUCUUGGGUGAGCACUUAUGUAGCAUGAAAGAGGUUAACAUUAGCCCAGGGAAAUCCUUCAAAGUAAUUGAGGGGGAAGGAUACAUUAUUUAUGCAUUUGUUCCCUUCUCUAUCGACAGUAAGAAAUGAUUCAUGGCACCUGUCACAGUCCUAGGUAGUGACAGACACCAGCCUGCACUGUAGCUGAAAACCCCUGAGAAGCCACAGAUGUGCAGUCUUCCCAGCUUGACUACAUGCCCAAGUCUUCUGAACCUUAGUUUCCCAACCUAGGAAAUAAAAAUUGUGCCCUUUACCCCUCAUGAACCUUAUUGGGGUCUUAUAAGAUUGCUCCUGGUUGCCAUUUGGCCCACAGAUGGGUUUAGUUUGGUGGACAGUGUCCCGAAAGACUUACAAAUUCAGAUCUGACUUGUUCAUUUGUGUAGGGGAGAGUUGGUGGCACACAUCCUCUCUGUCACUGUAAGUAUGUUCCAAAUGUCACAUUAGGUCCACUGGCACGUGUAAGCCCUGUCUGGCAUUUGCCUGGUCCCUGCAGGCAUUUGGGUUGGCAGUAAACUUUCUUUUCUAACAGAUUUCUGGAAAUGUUUACAUGUAGCAUAUAAUAGAAUAAUAGAACCACAGAACUUCCACAGUAAAGCCUUCCUUCUUUUAUGUUCCAAAAGCUAAAAUGUACUAACAACCUCCAAAAGGCACUAUGACAUUGGAGUUUAAACUUUGUGGAGCAGGACUCAAAGCUGGACUUAGCUGCUUGCUAACUUUGACCUUGAGUGAAGAGUUAGCAGAUGAUUUAAAGUGUAAAGUAGAAAGAAUUCAUGCUGGUUAGCCCAUUAAAUACCCGUUAAUUAAGCUCUCCAAAAACGCCAUUCAAAAAUGUAUAUGAUAAUCAAAUAUUUAUUGCAAUGUUUCUUAAAAUAGUGAAAAAUUAGAAAACAUUAUAGGGGGCUAGUGUUAAAUCAUGGUGUAACCAGAAAUGAAACAUUAUGCAACCAUAAAAAGGAGUUCUGAAGAGUAGUUCCCGGCAUGAUAUAAUGUGAAAAAAAGCAAAAUACGAAAUUGUGCAAUUCUAAUUUUGCAAAAACUUUCAGCGUACACGACUAUCACUGUAUAAAGUCACAAAGUAGGAAUGGUGAUUGUAUCUUGGAGUGAUGAGAUUAUAAGUGAUUUUUAAUUUUCUUCACUAUGCUUUACUGCAAUUAAACAUUUACAAUUCAAUUUUAUUUAACAAAAAUAUAUAAAACUUCUCAAAUGGAGUAACUUCAGUACCAGACAUCCUCAACCUGACUGCUCUGGAGGUUAUUGUGCAGAGCAAUCUUUGACCAUAUGGUCACAGAUCCAGAAGCCAGACGUCUGUGGGGCUUUGCUCCUGAGACUGUGACCUUUGAUUCCUGCACUCCUCCUCUUGCCAUCUGACGCCGGUCUGCGCCUGUGACUGAGUGAAAAUCGUCAUAACUGUACUCGGAGGUUAACUCUGGCAUGACUGGGAUGGAAUCCCAGGCAACAUGCUGGAGGCAGGAAAGAAGGCCAGCCGGCAAGUCAGAACCAAACACCCUGGACGGCACCUUUCCUUACAAAUGCGGUUCACAGGACCCUUGGGGAUCCUCUGCGCACACUGAGGCAAGCAGCAAUGGAAGAAAUUAUCUUCCACUCCCUUCUUGUUGAAAAUGUCUGUUUUCCAGAAAUGAAUUACAGUAAUAGAUUAUGAAAAUUGUUUCCAUUGCCUACAUAACACAGCAGGGAAUUCUAAAAUUUCAAAACAUGUAAUAUACUCAACCUGUGCUUGAGACUGUAGGGUAUUAUUUAAUUUUUCAGUGUUUGAAUUUUGUCUGUUUGAGAAGGGUGUGGCACUCCUUGAGUACACUAUUAGUAGUAUUGUUGUUAUUUUAUUUACUAGACUUUUCCAGGACUUGCUGUGCACCAAGCACUGUUCCAAGCACUUUGAAAACAUUGUUUAAUUCUCAUAACAAACUCGUUAUGUAGGUGCUAUUAUCACCAUUUUAGGCAUGAGGAAUCUUGGGCACAGAGAGGUUGAACAACUUGCUCAAGGUCACACAGCCAGGAGGUGGCAAAGCUGGGUGUUCUGAGCUCCUCUCUGAAGCAAGAGGGAACAGAUGAAUUUCACUGUGAAACCAUUUCUCGAGCCUUUAGAACAAACCAUUUGACCACCAAGGACAAGGAGAGCAUCCAGGUGAAAAUGAGGUUUCAAAACCAUUUUUGGUUCUCCUCAGGAACCCUGAAUCCAACAGUGCCUGUCCCAAUGUCAUGGUUGCAGGGUGACAUCUUGCGGUCAAAGAGAAUAUCGCUUCCAGCCCUAAAAAGUAGCUUCUAACACCUCAGCUGGCCUAAACCCUUCCAGGCCUGCAAGUGCUGCCCUGUAAGCGUGUUUCUGGUGAGCCCAUGGGCUCU
rnacentral:lncRNA from 1 species